GCAACAGCCAAUGGAAUUUGUAAUAGGCGGGACUAAAUGGAUGCUAGCGUCAUUGACAACGGAUAUGGUUUGAUUCGAGUUGAAGUUUUGAGUCUAUUUACAUUUUAAAACAUGAUAUUUUGCGUCGGGAAAAUACUUACUUUUGGCGAAACCUUGUUGAGAAAUGACCGCUGUCUUGCUUUGUAAUGUUGUCUGAACGCUUGCUGAGAGUAGCAGCUAUUCAUACUAACGUUACAGUAUUUACCAGGGUGCACACAUCGAGUGUUUAAAGAAAAUGAAUCAACCACGAACAACUAAAGAAAAGUGUUCGAUAACACAAAGGAAGCUUGUAAAAGAAAACAAAAAGUUAAGCUCAGGAAACAACAGAAACGUCAAAAAUGUUAAAGUUUUGGCCGAAAGGAACCCGGCUGUGGCACCUGUUGGGGCUUGGGUAGAAAGUGGACAUGAGUGUCAGGAACAUCCCGAGAUGCGUGCUUUGCUCACAGAAGAGCUUUUAGAGGAAAUCCGACAGGAUAAAGAAGAGAAUCUGCGCAGAUUUCAGGAUGCAGUUCGCAAACGCAUAUCUCAACAGGCUCGUCUGCGCAAACGACAGCAGCUGCUGAAAUCAUAUGAGACCGUUGAAUGUGAGGGCAGAAUAUUUCAACAAACCAGUAAAGUAACCCAGCAUCUUACAGCACAGAAAACUCAAUUGCCUUCUUGGUCUCAUGACCAGCUGGCCAUCUGCAGCCCCAGCUCUCGCUGCUUCAGUACUCAGAGGAUGGAUGCAUCUGAUCAACAUACACAUGUUAGUAAAGUCCUUAAGCAGGUGAGACGAAGACUAGCCACGUGUCAAACGGUGCAAGACGGAGAUGAACUUUCACAGCUACCUGGUGGAAUAUGGAAAAAAUCUUCGACAAGAGACAAAGCUGAAUCACACAUUUUAAGAGAUAAUGAGGAUGGUGCGAGUGAUAAAGAGAAAAAUGAGCUGGGCGUCGACGCAGAGAGAAGAUACCAUUGGUAUGGCAACACGAUAAGGCUUCUAAUUUACAUGAACACAGAAGCAAGACCGUAACUUUUCAAAAUGAUAUGGUCUACGAGAAGUUGCUAGGGGAGCCAGAUCUAACUUUUACAGACUUUAGAGCUUCACAGGUUCUAUGGCCUCGUGAUAAUCAAGAGGAGCUGAAGAAACAGCGGCAGUCUGAGUUCCUCAUGUACCGCCGUCUCUUCAUG